GUAUGUUUCUCUUGAUCACAAAAGUCUUAGGUAUCCACUGCAGAUAAUCUCUGAAAUACUGAAAAAUAUAAAGAAGGAAAUAAAAAUUGUCCACAUUCACUGCAUUGGGUUCCUGGGGUGCCUAAUAAAAGAGCAGAAGUCAUAAAGGCUUAAAACACCAGAAGUGUAUUGGCUCACAGCUCUGGAGGCCUGAAGUUCAAAACCAAGUGUCAGCAGGGCCGAGCUCCCUCUGAGGUUCCCCAUAGGACCUUCCUUGCCUCUUGUGAGUGCCUGGUGGUGGCGAGCCUGGGCAGCCCUUGGCCAGCAGCCCUAUCUCUGUCAUCACGUGCUAUUCUUUCUGUGUGUCUCUGCCUUUACAUGGCCUUUUCUUCUCCUAAGGACCCACUCAGGCUGCAUUCGUCCCACCCUCAUGACCUGCAAAGAUCCUCUUUCCAAAUAAGGGCACGUUUCCAGAUACUGGGCUUAGGACCUUAACACAUCUUAGUGGGGACACAUUCAACCCAUACUACUGUCCACCCCGGGAAUGACCCCUGUGGACAUUCCCUCUAGACUUUGCCCCGAUCAGGACAACAGACAGUGGUGACCUGCACUGUGGGGGCAUCCAGGUGCUCGGAGAGAGUCCCAGGAUGUGGGAGCAAACUGACAAGAUUAGGUCAUUAAUCAGAUGGGGUCGGGAGGGAAGAGGUGUCCCGAACCUGUGAGUCCUGGGAGGUCAGAGGAGCCUUUCACUGCACUGGGAGCCCAGGAAGGCCAGCAGUGUGGGGUCAGACGGCAGCCUGGGGAUGGAGGGAGGAGCCAGAGCCAAGGGAGGGAACCAGGAGGACAGUGUCCCAGAAACCAGAGGUCGAGGGGUUGAGCGUGUUAAAGGGACAGGAUGCCUGGAAAGUGGCCCUGCAGAGGUCAGCAGGGCAGAGGUGGCAGUGCUCUCAGGAGAGUACUGGGGCCCAGGUGAGGGAGUGGGCAGUCAGUGUAGACCACACUGCUGGGCAUCAGAAGAGGAGGGCAGAAGUCAUGAGGUGCUCAGCUAAGACCUCUCUGAAAGGGCCCUAACUGGGCAUGUGGGCCUGUGCCAGGGUCCAGAGUCACCAGUGGGGGCAGACUGGGUGACCACCUGCCAGUUCCUUCCAUCAGAGCCGACCUGAGGUCUGUCUGGUCGUGUGUGUGCUUGCAGGCUGUUCUGGGAGCAGUGAGGACGGGGGUGCAGUGCAUGCAGGUGGACAGCAAGCAUAUGAGCAGACUAGCACCCCUGGCAGAUCCCCCUGCUUAGAGUUCAAAAUACUCCUGCCUGGGGGCCUGGCUGGACCUGCCCUGCUUCCAGGGACCCCCCUCAGCCACGCCUCCUCCCCACGUGGGGGAUGAUCAGUUUCACAGGUCCAAGCCUCUGGGUGCCGGUAUCCAUCCCCUGGGCGGCCCCCCACCCCCGUAAUCCCCUCAGUAGACGUGGGGCAGACCCCCGCCCACCUCUUCCCGCCAGAGCACAGCCUCACACGGUUGGCAUCUCACAAAGCCUUUGGGAAUUUACGAGAAUUCCCCAGGGAGGGGGCCUUGUCCCCAAGGAUCCCUCCUACAAGCCAAAUCCAUCUGCUGGUCCUCCCACCUAAGCCCCGCUUCUAAAACACGCGACAGAGCAAAGGGGUCCCCGCCUCUUUCACCCUCCCAGCAGAAUCUGUGCAGAGCGAUAGCAAGGGUCCCAGACAGCCCCCAUCUGCUGUCCGCUGAAGCCCCGCCCACUGCCUGCUCUGCGCAGACGCAGAAGGAGACCUGGAUGACCUGACGGACCGAUUGGGGUGAAAGCUCAGACUUCCUUUCUCUCCAGAACAGUGGUCCUUCCCUGAACGUCGCCUUGCUACCCUGGCAAAAACCCACCUGCAGAGGAUAGGGAAGCCCAGGCCUCCCUGCAGGUUACGAUGCCCGGCACUUGCAAGGCGUCCUGGAUGCAGGCCUUCGGUGGAUUGUCCCUUGCAAUCCUCCGAUCAACCCUGCUGGCCAUACCCAUGUUGUCUUCAUGUUACAGAUGGGGCGUAGGUUCCCCCAGUGCAGAAUCCUGCCCGAGGUCUUACGGUAAGAAGGAAGGCUGGCCCUGACAUCUGGGCCUUCUGGUUAAUCAUAACUGAGAGUCUACCCUGAGGCGUUUAUGAAACAUGCUAAGUGCCCAGCCCUGUCCUAGACGCCUCGAGUGUGUCUGGGGCGGAGGCUCCCAGCAUCCAUGGAACUUGCUAUUGUAGGCCUCCCCUGGGCUGUGUAGUACCUUGUCUGUGUAGUCCUCCCAGAGCCCCGAGGCUGUGAACAGCUCUGUUAGAGCCCAUGUUAUGAGGUGAAAGCAAUUUGCUCAAAGUCCCAGAGCUGGAGCCUGGGACUCUGACCCCUAAACUGAGUGCUUGGCCAUGAAUUGUGAUGUUACCCAUUGCCUCCAAGCUCUGAGUUCUGCACAUUCCCAGGGUCUUUGGGGGUAAGCGUGCAUUAGUGAGGCAGCAGAGCUUCCUGGGAAGAGUCAGGCUCAAGUUCAGGUUCAAAUUCAGCCCCUCCCCUUGUCUUGUCUAUUUGCCAGGGAACAUUAGAGGCCCCAGUGGGAUUCAUCUGUUACAGCUCUAACCCCCACUGUGGCUGGAUGUGGAGAGAAGGCUUUUGGGAGGUAAUUAAGGUUAAAUGAGGUCAUAAGGGUGGGGUCCAAAUCCAUUAAGAUUGGUGGCCUCACAAGCAGAGGACGAGGGAUCUGCCUAUAACCCUGGGCAGAGGAAAGGCCCCAUGAGGACACAGCGAGAGGACAGGCCUCUGUGAGCAAAGAAGGUUCCCACCAAAACUGCAUCCACCAGCGCCUUUUUUGGGGGACUUUCAGCCUCCAGAACAGUGAGAACUAGAAAUAAGUUUCUGUUGUUGACGCCACCCAGCUAUGGUGUUUUAUCAUGGCAAUCUGAGCAGACUAAAACAUUAGGCAAAUCACUUGAUCUUUCUGGGUCUCAGUCUUGUCCUGUGUUCAAUGGGAAAGCCUUUCAUAAUUAAGACUAAUAUUUAGAAAAGCGUUUCGCACAGUUUCUGGCACACACUUGGUGCUUGGCUGUUAGGCGUAGCUCUUACGGUUAGGCUGAAGGGCAUGGCUCAUGUCCAGCAGCUUUCUGUGUCUGGAGCUCUGGCUUUAAGACUUUGGGGAUCAUGACCCAUGUAAGAAAUACAUAGAAGCAUAAGAAAUGCUUCAUGAGGAGUUCCCAUUGUGGCGCACGGGAAAUGAAUCCGACUAUGGUUGCGGGUUCAAUCCCUGGCCCCACUCAAUGGGUUAAGGAUUUGGCGAUACCGUGAGCGGUGGUGUAGGUUGCAGAGGUGGCUCGGAUCUAGCGUUGCUGUGGCUGUGUGGUAGGCCGGUGGCUACAGCUCCAAUUGGACCCCUAGCCUGGGAACCUCCCUAUGCUGCAGGUGCAGCCCUAAAAAACAAACAAACAAAAAGAAAUGCUUCAUGAAGCAUCAUUCAUGAAGCUAAGCUUACCUUUACUGUGUGUGAUUCACUCUGAGGUUUUCUCUUCUAUUUUCUGGCAUUUUUGCUUUGUUUUUAGUGGAGGUCACAACACACCAAGUUUAUCUCAUAUCCUAAGUGUUUGAAAACCCCAAGCAGUGGGAUGGUGGGUGCAGCCCCCUCCUCCCGGAGGUGAGCAGGAUUGAGGGGAUGAUGCUCCAGGCCCCAGGGUUUGAUGAGAACGUUAAACCAAGGUUUCCCAGGCUGCCCUUGUAGUGCAGUUUGAGGAUUAUACAUCAUUUUAUGCUUCAAAAUGAUUCUACAACCACUCUGUAAUUAUCGUCUUUCUACUUUGUAUGUGAUAAAUCUACAGCUAAGAUGAUUGGCAGAGUUUUAGGUCAAUUCUGGGUUUUCUUUUCUUUUCUUUUAAUUCUUCCUGCGGCAUGUGGAAGUUCCCCAGCCAGGGACUGAAUCUGAAUCUCAACACCAAAUCCUUUAACCCAAUGUGCUGGGCCCGGGAUCAAACCUGCACCUCCACAGCGACCCAGGCCUCUGAAGGCAGAUUCUUAACCCACUGCACCGCAGUGGGAACUCUUAAUUCUGGGGUUUCUGACUCUGAGUCUGGUGCUCUUCCCACCUUCCUAGACCAGUGACUCCUAAUCACGGCCUUAGACCCACCACUCUGUCUCCGUGGAAUCCAAACUGUCCCCAGAAGUCAGGGUUGAACUAGUUACUUUUUGAUGGUGUGGGCAAUUCAGACACGCAGAGCAUAAAGAAUAUAAACAAAACUUAAGUAGCAUCACGAUAUACACCCAUAGCCUGUAUCUAAGCUCUGCCUCACCUCUGGACCCCUACCGCCCUCUCAGCCCCUGCCCGCCCCCCACCCUUCUCCAUCACCUACCCCCACUGUGCAGUUCCCAUCAUGACCAUCUCAGAAGCAGGGGCAGUGACCCUUGGAUGUAGCUGUGGGUCAGGAACCAAAAGUGCCAAUGCUUUCGUGACCUGAAAAAGAAAAUGCGACCCCAGCUUCCGACAUGGCUGCCUGGGGGAAGCUUUACUUGCCUCUCCCAUUUCCUACACAGUUCCCAUCAGCCUGCAAUGUUGUUCUCUAAUUUAUUAUUUUAAUUAGCAACGUGGCUGUGUUAAUAAUCACAACUUUUCCAGCCUCCUCCCAGGAGCUGUGCAGGCUCCCUAGCUGCGAGCAGCUUCUUCUGCUCCAGAAGCUCAACCCUGCACUGGGGUUGGUGGUGGGUGGGGCGCGGGGGGGUGGGGUGCUGGCUGCUUCACUGGCACCUCCCUUGGACGCCUGCGGGGUGUGGCCUCCAGGGAAUUCCUGAGAUCCCUUUGGAGACAAAGGCCAAGCCUGGAGGCCAUGAUGGCCACGGGCUGGCCAGCCAGGGAUCGAGGCGGCCUGAAGGUGCCUGCAGCAUCCCUCUAGGGUCCACAGGAGGGAGGAGCCUCUGCUUGUCUCCCUGCUGAGGGUAGAAGCCUUCGCUCUGGGCACCAGCAUCCCGCAGAACAUGGCCUCUGCCUGCCUCCCAGGGCAGCUCAACCGAGAACGAAUGGCCAUGGGCCCCUUCCUAAGGUGCUGAAGUGCGGGGACCCCCCAGCCUCUUUGUGCUGCAGCAUCUGCUGGGGGACAUCCCUUCCCUGUGGCCUGCCAAGGGCCACAGCAGGGUCUCAGCCCCUGCCCCCCACCCCCAGAGGCUGCCUAAUGACAGAAGAAGAGUCUGUUCCCCUCCGGCACUCAGACUCCUUCUAAAUAUAACUUGUCAGCAGAGUUCCCAUCGUGGUGCAGCAGAAACAAAUCUGAAUAGCAUCCAUGAGGACGCAGGUUCAAUCCCUGGCUUCGCAUAGUAGGUUAAGGAUCUAGUGUUGCUGUGAGCUGUGGUGUAGGUCCCAAACAUGGCUUGGAUCCUGAGUUGCUCUGACUAUGGUGCAGGCCGGCGGCUACAGCUCCAAUUCAACCCCUAGCCUGUGAACCUCCAUAUGCCUCGGGUUCAGCCCUAAAACAAAAGCAAAAAAAAAAAAAAA
rnacentral:lncRNA from 1 species